GAGCCCAGCUCCUCUGCAGCACCCACUCAGCUCCGGGGACCCUUGCGCUCCCCACGACAUGCCACAGGGCACACUGUUGAGUGACGCUGGCCGGUUCUCCUGGUUCUGCCCAGAGACCCCCAGGGGCGCUGCUCUCAGGCCUCUUCCCUGGAGCACUGAGCUUCCCGGCCACGUGUCGCACAGCCUCCUGGCAGCCUCAGGGACAGAUACCCCUCAGCCAGGCAGCCCAGCGGGGGGUCUCAGGACCUGCUCCCUUGGCUGGUAGUUGGAAUGCGGGGGCAAAGAGCAACUCCUUUCCUACCCUUCCCUCGGGGAAAGGGGAAGACAUGCCCUGUCCACUCCCAGACCCUCCCAAGGGAAAAGAGGCUGCAAAACACCAUUUGGUGAGAGGCCUGGUGGAGCCAGGAGACGCAGGCGCUCAGGGAGAGACAGGCCCCUCCACACCGGGGCCUCCUUCUGGAAACUUAGUUAGAAUUUGUCCCUGAAUUAUAAUAAGACAGCCUCUACUUUGAAAAGAAACCGGCUUUGAUGUAUUGUUUGGCGGCAGCUCCCCAACACUGAGAUCUGACGUGCCCCCAGAUUCCCUGGGCUCAGAAAACAGGACACGCCGAGGACAUAGAAGCCUGGCACCAGGCGCAGAGCUUCCGCCACCAAGGAUGUUCCAGCAGAGACCACACAGCCGCGUGGCCUGGACUCGAAGCCAUCGAAGUUUUGAAUCUCUAAGUCCUUAUUUCUUGCCAGCCCAACUAUUAAUAAAUCAAAAGCUCCUUGGAGCGUUGGUUUUUAUUUUCUUCUCCCCUAGAACAGUG
rnacentral:lncRNA from 1 species